rnacentral:tRNA from 1 species
GCCGCGGUAGCCAAGGUGGUCACGGCGAACGACUGAAACUCGUUUUAUCUCGGUUCGACUCCGAGCCGCGGCA